UACAGAGGUCUCAAGCGUUGUUCGGAUUCAUUGGGCGUAAAGGGUGCGUAGGUGGCGCGGUAAGACAGGUGUGAAAGCCCCGAGCUUAACUUGGGAAUUGCGCUUGUGACUGGCGUGCUCGAACGUGGGAGAGGAAAGCGGAAUUCCUGGUGUAGCGGUGAAAUGCGUAGAUAUCAGGAGGAACACCUGCGGUGUAGACGGCUUUCUGGACCAUUGUUGACGCUGAGACACGAAAGCGUGGGUAGCAAACAGG
rnacentral:rRNA from 1 species